CAAAGAGAAGCAAAGCCGCGAGGUAGAGCAAAUCUCAAAAAAACAAUCUCAGUUCAGACUGCAGGCUGCAACUCGCCUGCACGAAGUCGGAAUUGCUAGUAAUCGUAGGUCAGCAUACUACGGUGAAUACGUUCCCGGGCCUUGUACACACCGCCCGUCAAACCAUGAGAGUUGGCAACACCCGAAGUCGGUAGUCUAACCGCAAGGAGGACGCCGCCGAAGGUGGGGUUGAUGAUUAGGGUUAAGUCGUAACAAGGUACC
rnacentral:rRNA from 1 species